AGUGAACGCUGGCGGUAGGCCUAACACAUGCAAGUCGAACGGCAGCACAGGAGAGCUUGCUCUCUGGGUGGCGAGUGGCGGACGGGUGAGGAAUACAUCGGAAUCUACUCUGUCGUGGGGGAUAACGUAGGGAAACUUACGCUAACACCGCAUACGACCUACGGGUGAAAGCAGGGGACCUUCGGGCCUUGCGCGAUUGAAUGAGCCGAUGUCGGAUUAGCUAGUUGGCGGGGUAAGGGCCCACCAAGGCGACGAUCCGUAGCUGGUCUGAGAGGAUGAUCAGCCACACUGGAACUGAGACACGGUCCAGACUCCUACGGGAGGCAGCAGUGGGGAAUAUUGGACAAUGGGCGAAAGCCUGAUCCAGCCAUUCCGCGUGCAGGAUGAAGGCCCUCGGGUUGUAAACUGCUUUUGUACAGAACGAAAGGGUUUCUACUAAUACUAGGAGCUCAUGACGGUACUGUAAGAAUAAGCACCGGCUAACUACGUGCCAGCAGCCGCCGUAA
rnacentral:rRNA from 1 species